UACGAAGGGGGCUAGCGUUGCUCGGAACCACUGGGCGUAAAGGGUGCGUAGGCGGGUCUUUAAGUCAGGGGUGAAAUCCUGGAGCUCAACUCCAGAACUGCCUUUGAUACUGAGGAUCUUGAGUUCGGGAGAGGUGAGUGGAACUGCGAGUGUAGAGGUGAAAUUCGUAGAUAUUCGCAAGAACACCAGUGGCGAAGGCGGCUCACUGGCCCGAUACUGACGCUGAGGCACGAAAGCGUGUGGAGCAAACAGG
rnacentral:rRNA from 1 species